GUGAACCAGUACCGUGAGGGAAAGGCGAAAAGAACCCCGGCGAGGGGAGUGAAAAAGAACCUGAAACCGUGUACGUACAAGCAGUGGGAGCCCCACCACCAAAGCAUUCUCUGGUGUUGAAGGCCCUGCAAAGCAGCAUCGCGGUGGCGGAGCGUCGUUUGCGACGCCCAACACACAAAACAAGCGGUGAGUGCUUUGGGGUGGGGUGACUGCGUACCUUUUGUAUAAUGGGUCAGCGACUUAUAUUCUGUAGCAAGGUUAACCGAAUAGGGGAGCCGGAGGGAAACCGAGUCUUAAUUGGGCGUUAAGUUGCAGGGUAUAGACCCGAAACCCGGUGAUCUAGCCAUGGGCAGGUUGAAGGUUGGGUAACACUAACUGGAGGACCGAACCGACUAAUGUUGAAAAAUUAGCGGAUGACCUGUGGCUGGGGGUGAAAGGCCAAUCAAACCGGGAGAUAGCUGGUUCUCCCCGAAAGCUAUUUAGGUAGCGCCUCGUGAAUUCAUCUCCGGGGGUAGAGCACUGUUUCGGCUAGGGGGCCAUCCCGGCUUACCAACCCGAUGCAAACUGCGAAUACCGGAGAAUGUUAUCACGGGAGACACACGGCGGGUGCUAACGUCCGUCGUGAAGAGGGAAACAACCCAGACCGCCAGCUAAGGUCCCAAAGUCAUGGUUAAGUGGGAAACGAUGUGGGAAGGCCCAGACAGCCAGGAUGUUGGCUUAGAAGCAGCCAUCAUUUAAAGAAAGCGUAAUAGCUCACUGGUCGAGUCGGCCUGCGCGGAAGAUGUAACGGGGCUAAACCAUGCACCGAAGCUGCGGCAGCGA
rnacentral:rRNA from 1 species